AGCUCAGGGCAGCAGAGAGUGUUUUGUCUCCCUGUGGCUGGAAUUUGGGAGCUGUGGAUCCCUGCUCCAGUGUCUGUGUGAGGAACUGCUCCUUGUCCUUUGAGCUGCAGCUUCUGAACCAGGAAUGGAAUAAAUGCAUCCUGUCCCACUGAAGCAGUUUCCAGGAAAGGCUUCCCUGGGGAUCCCACAUCACCUCUCCUGCAAAUGCAACAAAACCAGUUCUCUGGCUGCUCAGACAGGUGUCCACAUCCCCAAAAAUGUGAUGAGAAAUGACAUCUUUGUUGACAGUCUCAUCAGAUUAAUUGGACUUCAGGAGUGAGCUAAUUCUCACAUCAAGAGGCUUGAGAACAUACUGUGGGAGCUGUGUGAAGAACCUUGAACUCCUGCUUCUUGUGCUGUCACCAGAUCAUAACAGCUUUGAUGGACUGGAUUAGGAAAUCAAUAUCCACACAUUGACAUGCUAAUCCCUCCAGGGACACUCAUUAAAUGACGUUCAGAUCAAGGGCCAGAGCAGGAUGUGUGCAGUCAGGAGCUGCAGCAGAGUGUCACGUUUCAUUUGGGUGCUUUCAAACAGUCUAAUAUAAACGGCUCUAAAACAUUAAAAUAAAUAUUAAGCUCCCCAAACCGUGAGUUUUGGGCAUUAAAUGGAACCUAAAGUGUUGAAAGCACGAGGAAGGGUCAGGUUUUGGUGGUACACAAAAAUUAAUGGGGAGAAACUCCGAGGAGUGAAUGGGAUCUGCUGGGUCAUGAGUUCAGUGCUCUGCUGUAGGAGAUAUCCCUGCCAUGGAAAACCUUCCAUCAGGUGCUCAAGUGCUAUUUGAAAACUAAUUGGGAUUUUUUUGUCCUCUUGGGACCCUGUUCUGUAACCUUUCCCCAAUAAUGGCAAAGAGGCUGUCAUCUAAUUUCAGAAUAAAUAUAUU